UUGGCUCCUGAUCAAAAGCCUCAGCUUGUAGUAGCUGUGAGUUUUUAAGUGAGCCUAAAAUAAACUCCUUCCUGUGGUCUGUUGAUUUGUUUCCCAACACCUAAAAAUGGACUAAUCAAUUCAUUUGGAAGGAACAUUU
rnacentral:snoRNA from 1 species